ACAAAGUAUCAAGGAUGCUCUGGUAAGGGCUACUUCACUUUCACAUAACUGACACAUGAAUUUCACGUAAAGUCCAAGUGGAUGGAUUAGAAUUCUUUUUUUCCCGUUUUCUCAAGCGUGUGGUAGUAAAUUCUUGUUGGAAAACGGAAUUGAUGUCAGUAAGCUUACUUUGUUUUUUUUUAUGCUGUGAAAAUGCGGUAAUGGAUGCUGCAGUUCAAUAACAUCCAGCGUCGGAGGAUGAACCAAAGUCCACUCUGGACGUCCUACGGGACCCAAGCGCAAGAAACACGAAUCCGAACGUCGAGAGCAUGGAGCAGCGGAGAAAGCUCCUAGAAGUUCCGCCGAUUCUCAAAGUUAUCGAGUCAACGGAAAAAAUCGGAUAUGGCGUCUUCGUCGCAUAUCCCGGAGAGCGGCACAAUAAUUCAAAAAUGCUUCAGCUGCAAGUAAAUUCUCGAAACCCGUUCAGUUUUCGGUCCUAACGUACCCUGCUGAUGAUGUUGAAUUUGCUGCGAAUUUGACGAACGGUUCAAUUUAUGAUUGUGAAAAUUCUAGAAAUAAAUGUUAUUCACAAUAAAUUUUGUUCAUUUUUAUCUUUAUUAAUGAAUAUCAACAAAAAUAAAAAGGAAAACAAAUAACAA